rnacentral:tRNA from 1 species
GGGGCUGUAGUGUAAUUUGGCUAUCAUUCCACCUUCGGGGGGUGGCGAUCGGAGUUCAAAUCUCCGCAGUCCCA